AACUGUUUCGUCGAGGUCAACGUGACAUAGCGGCAUGUUGACAUAGAUAAAACGAACUACUUGAUGGAUGGUCCCGGCAGAGGGUUUGUGAGAGAAGAAUUAUUGAUUGUACCGUAUGGCACAAUGCUACCUCCUACCAACACGACAUAGAGAUUAUUGGAUCAAACAAACGUUUUGAUAGCUUGA